UACGUAGGUGACCAGCGUUGUCCGGAUUUACUGGGCGUAAAGAGCGCGCAGGCGGUCGUUCAAGUCGAGUGUGAAAGCCCCCGGCUCAACUGGGGAGGGUCACUCGAUACUGAUCGACUGGAAGGCAGGAGAGGGAAGCGGAAUUCCCGGUGUAGUGGUGAAAUGCGUAGAUAUCAGGAGGAACACCAGUGGCGAAGGCGGGUCUCUGGGCCGAUACUGACGCUGAGGAGCGAAAGCGUGGGGAGCGAACAGG
rnacentral:rRNA from 1 species